AACGAACGCUGGCGGCGUGCCUAACACAUGCAAGUCGUGCGAGAAAACUCCCUUCGGGGGGCGAGUAGAGCGGCGCACGGGUGAGUAACACGUGGGUAAUCAACCCAGGCGUCUGGGAUAACCCGGGGAAACCCGGGCUAAUACCGGAUACGGCCCGGAGGUCCUCGGACCUCCGGGAGAAAGCGGGCCUCUUCAUGAAAGCUCGCGCACCUGGACGAGCCCGCGUCCCAUUAGCUUGUUGGUGAGGUAACGGCUCACCAAGGCUCUGAUGGGUAGCUGAUCUGAGAGGAUGAUCAGCCACACUGGAACUGAGACACGGUCCAGACUCCUACGGGAGGCAGCAGUGGGGAAUUUUGGUCAAUGGGCGAAAGCCUGAACCAGCAACGCCGCGUGAAGGAUGAAGGCCCUCGGGUCGUAAACUUCUGUCAGGAGGGAAGAACGGCCUCCCGGUCAAUACCCGGGGGGGUGUGACGGUACCUCCAAAGGAAGCACCGGCUAACUCCGUG
rnacentral:rRNA from 1 species